CAUCUGUCCAGGCAGCCAUCCUCUGGAUGUUCACCGAAUGUCAUCAAGAGCUUAGCAAGGUCACAUUGAUAGUGGGGAACAGACCCAGCUAGUGGAGGAACAGAGUCACUUACUCAGUCUGGAGCUGGACUGGCUACACUGAUGGCCAGCAAGCUCCAGGAAUCUGCUGUCUCCACUUCCCCAGGAACGACAGGAGGCAGCUUUUCAUGUGGGUUCUGGAGAGCAAACCCAGGUCCUUCUGCUCGCAUGAUAAACGCGUUCCUGACUGAGCUACCCGCCUGGCACCUAAGGUCUUCAGCUUCACCAAGCGGAGACACUUGGUGGCUUUCCAGAUAUGCGGAGCUUUGAUGGCCUGGAGAGCUUCACGGGUGUUCUUAAAGUGAAUGUGACUAUCUUGAAACGGAAACCAUGGAAGGAAUGCUUUCACCUGCUUGCUCCCGCGUUCCUGGCCAGCUAUCUUUCUUACGCAGUUUAACCUCACCCAGCUAGGUAUAGUACCAUCCACAGCAUGCUGGACAGGCCGGUCUGCGUCAAUUAGCCAUCAAGAAAAUGCCUCACAUACCAGAUUGCCAAUCUGAUAGAGGCAAUUUCUCCUUUGAGUUUUCCUCUUUUCAGGUGGGUCAAGUUGACAACUGGAGGACUGUGACUGACAUUUCUCCACCCCCUGUCAUAAGGGUAUCACCAUAAGCUAUAACCUUUCUUUCCUUAUUUCAAGAGCUCAUGUGAAUAUCAUAAUAUAAAAUAUAACUUUGAAAGCCCCACAGUCUUUAAACAUUUCAACACUUUAGGGCUUGCACAUUGCUUUUAAUCCCAGGACUUUUUUUUUUUUUAGAUUUGUUUAUUUUAUGUAUAUGAGUGCUCUAUCUGCGUGUAUAUCUGCACGACAGAAUCAGGCACCAGAUCUCACUAUAGAGGGUGAGCCACCAUGUGGUUGCUGGGUAUUGAACUCAGGACUUCCGGAAGAGCAGGUAGUAUUCUUAACCACUGAGCAAUCUCUCCAGCACCAAUCCUAGGUACUCUGAAGGCAGAGGCAGGCGAAUCUCGAGUCUGAGGCCAGCUUAGUCUACUUAGUUCUAGGAAAGCUCAAGAUACACAGUAAGAACUUGUCUCAAAAAUGAACAUUCCAACACUUUAGAAGUCCAGUGUCUCCCAACUCUAAGCUCCUAUGAACAUCAAAAACAAGUUACAUACUUUCUUAUUCCAGAAGGAAAGAACCAGGGUUUAGGAAUGACCAGAUUAAAGCAAAAACCUGCACUGUAGCAGUGUAAAUCAAAUCUGUAGCCCAGCCUCUGGAGCCCUUCUGUGUGACCACAGGCGGGAGAGGAAACUUCCACCUUCCUGAUUCUACAGAGUUCUUUUAGAGAGAACAAUGCCUUUUGGAUGUGUGUGGCUUUGUUACUGAAUUAAAUAAAAGGAGGAGGACAUGAUUAAA